rnacentral:lncRNA from 1 species
UCAGUAGCCAACAGGAGUUGGAGAAUAAAGCAACACUAAAAGACGACUCUGAAAACGCUCCCCCUGGGCACUGUUACCCCAGAAGCCUUAAGCCUUUUAUCCCCCCGAAAUAGCAUUCUGAGUGUGGGUAUGAUUCAGGCUGCAGAGGAAGUGGCUUGAUGCUGAAGUGCCUUAAUGUGCCAGAGAAACCUCCUGUCCCCACACUGCUUCGUGCCUAAUGUAUCUGCUGGCAGGGUGAGGAACUGCUGUUUCUCGUAGCAGCCUUGAGAGCCAUCGCAAACCAUCCUGGGGAGCCUUGAACGUCUGUAACCCCUCCCAGAGCUGCAGAGAGCCUCUGUGCCCCCGAGGGACCCUGCUGCAGGCCAGCAGGGAGACACCUCUCCUUGGCUCUCUGCUUGCUGCUUGAUAGGGAGAAAGCCAUUCUGGUCCUAACAUGGCAGGGUGGUACAGCUGGAUCUGAGAGCUCUACCCGAUGCCUGCAAGGCAGUGACCACUCGGGCUUUGUUGUAGCCUUGCCCCUUGUUCUCUGGGAGCUUCCUGCUCUGCUAAAUAAUGGGAUUUCUAAAUAAAUCAGCAUGGGAUGCAGUUCACUUUAUCACAACCCUCCUUAACCAUAGUGGCAACUUUACAGUCCUGAGCGCUUGUUUGUGACAACGCUGUGGUGCUGAGGGUGGAACUUUUUUGGUUUUCAGCUUGAGUUAAGAGCAAGAUACUAUGUUAGUUUUGUAACGGGGGAGAAUACUGCUGAAACUCCUGCUGUUUGGUUGCUCAUGGUUCAUGCUGGGGCUGUGAGCCCUAGGUUUGGGAGAAAUGCGUUUGUUAUUCCUUUGUGUUAAAAUGUAAGACCAAAUCUGUUUUGUUCUUAGCGUUUGGCCACCACGGGUGUGAUGGUGGCAAAAAAUUGGUUAGUUUGCUGUCCUGACUUAUGCCCUGCAUGGCAUGGGGAGAGAGUGCAGCAGCGUCUGCUGGGCAGCUGGCUGUCUGUCCUGUUCUUUCCGCAUCUGGUGUAUUACAUUUCUGACUGUUUCUGUUCCCAGGCUGCUGUUGCCACGUACUGAGCUAAAUGUGGGCCAAGGCUAUUUCUUGAAGUCAUUUGUCCUGACUGCUGGGAGCUCUCUAGGCACUGGGGUGCAGAACAGCACCAGCUGUGAGAAUUGCUCUCUCCUGCAGAGCUGGACCCCUCUGGCUAAGAUGGUGAUCCUAUCUGCCGUACGUGACUGCUGCUCUCCAGGCAGGGGAAAUCUUGGACCUUUCUUUACAGAGCACCCCAGAACGUGGCACCAGGGCCACCUUCCCACCCUGUCCCACAUUCUCGCCCCGCCGUCUGUCCGGCGCUGCGUGUCGCGUCGGGCGCAGUGUAUUUCUACCAGCCUUUGUCUCACCCACUCGUUUGUACUGAGUAUUUUGAGUAUAAAAUAA